rnacentral:lncRNA from 10 species
GCUCCUGGUCCUCCAGGGCCGCGCAGAAGGCGCGCCUGGGCUGAGUCCCAGCUGCAGAAUUCCUGGGGGGCGGGGGACGAGGCGUCUCCGCUCUUAAUAGCUGAGCGCCCGCAAACGCCCGGCCUGGGCUCGAGGCCUGCCCCUCCAGCGACGGGCGCCCCCAACAUUGAAGUCUUUCUCUGCAACUUGGACGGACCCACCCCGAGCGCCCCGAGUAUCCGGCCCGGGGCAGAGAUGCGCGUGCGCGGAGGGGGUGCCGCGGAGCCCGCGUGAGCAGACAAAUUACCGCGGACCUGAGAGGACCCGUCCACGCCGGCCCAGAGGGAGGAGGGGGACGGUCUCUCAUCUGGGAAGUGGGAUGAUAGCGCCAACCUAGCUGGAUUGCUGUGACUGCCAGCACAAUGCCUUCUAAGGGUUCAAGAUGAGAUUACUUAGUCCCAGAUGGGUUAAGUAACUGGCCCAAGGUCACAGCGCUGGUAAGCAACUGGGCUUCAAUCCAACCAUCCUGACUCCAGAAGCCUCUUUGAACUACCACCUUCUGCACCUGCCCCAGGGCUUCUUCGCCUGAGCCGGUGCCUUGCUGCCGCCCUGCUCAUCUCUUCUGGGAAGAUGCCUCUCAUCUUGCCAGUCCUCAAGCCAGAAGCCUCCGGUGCUGCCCUAGGGCUCCCUGAAUAGGCAUCCCUAAGGCAUCCCUCCUGGUGUUCAAACCACAUCCUUCCUGGCUAAGCUUCCAUUCCCCAGGGUAGCCCUCCACACUUUGGAGCCUCAGCUCACCUCUCACUCUCACACUUCAGUUUCACACUUCCCUUCUGAAUGGUCCCACCUCUGUGCUUUUGCUUAAGCUGUGCACACUUCCCAGAGUGCUCUUUCCCCUAUGUCUGCCUGUGCUCCAAUACCCUAUGCCUGAGCUGACCCAUGACAUACAAGCACCUACAGAGGCCUGGGGGAAGGAGGCAGUGGUAUGUGUGUCAGUGUGGGGAGUCAGUGAAGAGGUUUGGGGCUUUAGGGUCAGUUAUGUGACUUCAGGGCAAGUCCCCAUCUCCCUGAACCCCAGUUUCUGCAAAAUGAAGAUAUCCAUCCCAGCUUCUCCCAAGGUUUAUAAUGGUAAUCUGUGAGGUUCUGGCACAUGAUGAAUCCAUAACUACCCGUUGUGACAAGUUCCCCACUUGUGAAGUCAAAUGAAGACCCCCUGGUGUUGACAGUGCAGGAAAACCUGUGCCCGAGCACCUUGUCCCUAGGGAGAACCCUACCUUCAGUGCCUCUCUGAACAACAGGGCCAGGAAGGGGUCACUGUAUAGCAGUUGGUCCCUAGUGACCAGUCCUGGCAGAGGGCCUUUAUCCCACUUCCAGUAGCCCAGCACCAACCAUCCCCAGCUCUGGGAGGGGGUGGGCAGCACCCUCCUUCCUCCACAUUGUUGCCACCUCAGAGAGUCAGAAUCCAGGGAGACAGUCUCCUGGCAGCGGAGCUCCUGCUGCCCGCCAUGGGUGUCUGUGAUGCUGCCGUGCCCACUGGGGGCUGCAGGCACUCCAGCAUCAGGAUGGACUAAAUCUCGGGAGUGGGAAGGGGACUCCAGCCAGGGGCACUGGAGACAGGGCCAGCCUGAGUGCCUGCUUCUCCCAGGGGCAGGUGCCAGCAUGGUGCACCCCUCAAGGAGUGUGGCAGGUAAGAUUGAGGUCCUGGCUGCCCCAGGCUCCUGUGCCAUCGAGAGGGAAAGCACCUGGAACAGGUAUACAGUAGAUGCUUAGUGAUGAGGAGAAUCUUCACUUGGUGGAAUUCUGAACACUUUGGGUACCACCAGAGUCAGAAUUCCCAGAGGAGGAGGCAGGCAUUUGAUAACGGAUGUCUGGAGGAUAUAGCAUGUUCAACCUUCCCCUCUCCAUGAGAGGAAGUGGUGACCUCAACCCCAGCACCCUCCUCUGCCCAUUCACACCCACCCACUCCCACCUCUCUGCCAGCCUCAGUUGGAUGUGGAGCAGAAUGUAAUGAGGACUUACCUGUCCACAAGGACUUCACAACUGUUCCAAGGCGAUGGAUGGGCAGGUGCUAACGCAGCCCCUCAGUGUCCCCCUUCCCUUGCUUUUGGGGUGGGCUUGGGGCCCCCGGGGGGUCCUAACUCACUGAAGAUACCAGGGCCCAGCUUCUGAGUAUUCCUAGAGGCCAUUUCUACCCCUAGAAACUUUACAUGGAGCCAAAAGCCCAUUUGAAGCUCAGUCUGGGCCAGGAGAGGCUAAUCAUAAAAGGGAUAUUUUUUAAGUGUACAGAAAUAAGAAUUUAUUUUUGAAGACAUGAUUUAUAUUUUGAAUGGCUAAUGCACUCACAUGAUUCAAAAUUCAAAAUUCCAAAAGAACCGACAGUGCAAAGUCGCUCCUCCUUUGGUCCCCACCACCCAGUUUCCCUCUGCAGAGGGAACCUUGUUGCCAGUUCUUGUGUAUUCUUCCAGAGAUCUUCUAUGUAUAAACCGUCAUCCUCCUAGGAAUUCUCAUUUGUUAUCCUUUUAAAAUGCACACACAUCCUGCUCUGUACCUGGCUUUCUUCCCUUAAAAACACAUCUUGAUUAUUGUUCUAUGUCACUUGCAAAACAGGUUCCUCAUUCUUAUUUUGUGGCUGCAGAUGACUUCAUUGUAUGGAAGGACUGCACAUUAUUUAACUGAUCCCUUAUUUUUUGUUUUUUGUUUUUUGAAAUAGAGUCUCGCUCUGUCACCCAGGCUGGAGUGCAAUGGCACAAUCUCAGCUCACUGCAACCUCUGCCUCCCGGGUUCAAGUGAUUCUCCUGCCUCAGACUCCUGAGUAGCUGGGAUUACAGGCACGCACCACCACGCCCAGCUAAUUUUUGUAUUUUUCAUAGAGACGGGGUUUCACCAUGCUGGCCAGGCUGGUCUUGAACUCCUGACCUCAUGGUCCACCCACCUUGGCCUCUCAUAGUGCUGGGAUUACAGGCCUGAGCCACCGUGCCCGGCUGAUCCCUUAUUGAUGCACAUUUAGCUUGUUUCCGUGUUUGGUAAUUACAUGAAAUGUUGCAAUAAAUAACUUUGUACACA